rnacentral:rRNA from 1 species
UCUAGUGUCCUAGGCGUAGAGGAACCACACCAAUCCAUCCCGAAUUUGGUGGUUAAACUCUACUGCGGUGACGAUACUGUAGGGGAGGUCCUGCGGCAAAAUAUCUCGAUGCCAGAA